GUGUUGAUCUGCUUGCACUUGCAGACAAUAAGCCUACUUCUCGUCCGUUAAAUAUGACUUGGUAAAAAAAACAACACGAAAUAAUGUUGUACUGUCGGAAUAGAUAUUUGUGAUCAAAUGACAAUCUAUGAAUCUGGGUGAAUUAAUUUCAAAAAUACACAGUAGAAUAAUUAUAUAGUUAUAUUCAUCUUCCUCAGAUUAUCCAAAGCCAUCAUGGCGCAGUGGAUGUAUCAAUGAACUAGCAAGUUAGAGGAUCAGAGUUCAAAACCUAGAUGAUGGAGUAUGGCUCCAACUCCAUGUAUUUUGUGUGGGAAAAGACUAAAGAUACAUCAAAGGAGGCCUGUGAAUUCACAUCUUAUUAGAUAUCUCAGAAAAACCUUCAUGCUUGAAACUACAAAAUCUAACUACAUAUGUGGAAAAUGUAGCCGACUGGCAUAUCCAUCUCAGCAUAACCAAAGAUCCAUAAAAUCAGCAUGUCCUGUUCCUGUUGCAGCAGAAAAGAAUGAUAUUCAACACUUGCUAAGUCCACCAUCGGUUUCUUUGAACUUAAAAACAAUUUCAAAAAGUCAUUCAUACUGUGUUAUUUGUAAGAAAGUAGGAUCUUCAUUAAUUGUUGUUCCAUCAAAACUUAGAACAGAAACACUUGUGAAGCAUAAUACCCUAAUAACAGCUGACAGUAGGUGUUGCCCCACUCACUUGAAUAACAGUUGUGAUGGUUUCUAAGCAAAUGCUUUAGAUAACGUAAAAUCAUUAGAGUCUGACUACAAUUGAAAAUGUUAUUAAUAAUGUCAGACAGUGUAUACCCAAUUCAUCGUCUAAAAGAAUGUCAUUUGACAAUAUUGAUACAUUUUCAAAUGAAGAUUUGUACAAUCUAACAGGUUUGAACAAAGAACAGUUCUUAGAUUUAUGCUCUAUUACUGAAGAACAUGUUAGAAAUACGCCAGUUAGAAGCCACAUUACUACACUGGGUAUAUUUCUGUUUAAACUUAAGUCUGGAUUGUCAAACAAAAUUCUUUCAACACUUUUUGAUGUAUCUAAAUCAAGCAUAAGAAGAGCAGUACAUACAAUCAGAAAAGUGCUUGUUUCUGAACUUGUUCCUAAAUAUCUUGGCUUCCAGCACAUAUCAAGAGAAGAAAAUUAUAAAAAGCCAUACUCGUUCCCUAUCACAGUCACUACUUGCUAAAAAUGCCAGCCAAGCUAUAAUUGUAUUAGAUGGAACAUACAUAUAUAUAUUAGAAAAAGUACAAACUUCAAAUUCCAAAGACAUUCUUAUAGUGUACAUAAAGGGCGGCCACUUGUUAAACCUAUGGUAAUAGUCAGCACCACUGGAUACUUUAUUUCUGUAUUAGGACCAUAUCUUGCAAUUUCUAAAAAUAGUGAUUCAGGAAUUUUAAACCAAUUGCAGUAAGGAAAAACAUAGAGAGGAAAUCAAAAAUUGGGCUCAGCUAAAUGAUAUAUUUGUUGUUGACUGUGGAUUUUGUGACUCCCUGCAAGUGCUGGAGGAGAUGGGAAUAAAAGCACAGAUGCCAAAGUUCAUGACGAAGGGUGCCAAACAAUUAUUAACCAUGGACGCUAACCACAGUCGGUUCGUAACAAAGGUCAGAUGGGUAGUUGAAGCAUCAAAUGCUCGAAUAAAGAGAUGGAAGUAUCUUGACCAUGUAUUGCCUACCAAUCAAAUUCCGUACAUUGGUGAUUAUGUCCGCAUUAUUUGUGCCUGUAUGUAACAAAUAUCUUUCACCUCUAAAUGCAACCAAAGAUUUAAUAGAUGACACACUUGUAGCAGAGAGAAUGAGAGAUAAAAUCCUUUUGACUCUUGGUACCUACCAAAUGAAACUUUGCCCAUCAUGUGCACAAGAGUACCUUGAUGGAGAUUGGAAUAUUUUGGUGUUUAAAGAAUCAAAAGACUUGUUGAGAGUAAGGCUUCAAAGUUGUCAUCUAUCAUCCAAGUCUUAUUUUGUUUGGAUUCAAUAUGAUUCAGACCAUGUCAAGGCUUGGUACUGCCAGUGCAGGGCUGGUGCAUGGACAGUUGGAACAUGUUCUCAUGUAGCUGCGGUGAUUUGGUAUCUAGGCACAUCUAGGCAGCACUCUGACAGGGACGGAGUCCAAGACUGGACUCAAUACCUUGAUGAUGCUGCCGAGAUGCCGCAGCCAAUAGAUUCAUCUGACUCGGAAGACAGUAUUGUAGAGGAAUAAUAAGUAAAGGGAAUCAUACCAGU